GCGAAUUGCUUGCUCUCAUUGAAGCACGAAGGAGAAAAGGUGGAGGAAGCAAGACGGCAGAGGACUUGUUGAGGAUGUGUUAUGAGAUAUCUACACCAGUAUGUGAAGAAAUGAAAGUUGAAUUUAAGAGCAAAACGUCCUCAUCCUAGCAGAGUAUCUACAGGAGGCUAUGUGAGAGGCUAAGAUGGUCUUUUAUGUCUGAUCUCUAGAAACAAUUUAUUGUAUUGAUUCAAUCAUUCUAUUGAACACUUUAGAGUAUUAUUACACAUUUUGUCAAUUGUAUGAGAUUGAUCAGUUGAACGAUUGUUUGUCUCCCCUCAGCAAAUUGUAACAAGUAGAUAAUACACGUGGUUAUGCUCAAGUUGUAUCAACUUACCAUCAGGACAGACUGACAAAUGAAUGAUAAUUCGAGUUCAUACUUUC